AAAAAGAAUUCCCUGGCUGGUCUACUUUCCUUGGUAUGUUUGGCAAUACAAUGCAGACGGUAACCAGAGUUCUGAUUAAGAUGAAUCCUCAUGUGGUUGUGGAUGGCUAAGUGGACAUGGUGCAUCCAUGAAGAGGCAUACAGAAUUAGUCUGGUCCUAGCGUUUUUUUCC